rnacentral:rRNA from 1 species
AACGCGAAGAACCUUACCCAGACUUGACAUCCUUGGAAGGCUUCAGAGAUGAGGCCGUGCCCGCAAGGGAGCCAGGAGACAGGUGCUGCAUGGCUGUCGUCAGCUCGUGUCGUGAGAUGUUGGGUUAAGUCCCGCAACGAGCGCAACCCUCGCCUUUAGUUGCCAGCAUUCAGUUGGGCACUCUAGAGGGACUGCCGGUGUCAAGCCGGAGGAAGGUGGGGAUGACGUCAAGUCCUCAUGGCCUUUAUGUCUGGGGCUACACACGUGCUACAAUGGUCGGUACAGAGGGCUGCAAAGGCGCGAGCCGGAGCCAAUCCCAGAAAACCGAUCCCAGUUCGGAUCGAAGUCUGCAACUCGACUUCGUGAAGUCGGAAUCGCUAGUAAUCGCGGAUCAGAACGCCGCGGUGAAUACGUUCCCGGGCCUUGUACACACCGGCUAC